GAAGGANGNACUGCGGAAGGAUCAUUACAGUAUGGUUUAAGGGGGUUGGAUGCUGGCCCCUCGCGAGGGGGGCAUGUGCGCGUCCCCGUUUCUAAUCUCCACACUUACACCUUGUGCACCUAUGGCGAGCGCCUCCCGUUCGGAGCCGUCCGACGUCCGACCCCUUCGGGGGUCGUCGGGCCGGGGCGCUCCCUCUUCUGUUACAUACACAACAGCCUGUCUUACACGCAUGUCUUUGGAAGCUCUACGGAGCGGACGGUAGCAGUUACAACUUUCAACAACGGAUCUCUUGGCUUUCGCAUCGAUGAAGGACGCCGCGAAAGUGCGAAACGUAAUGUGAAUUGCAGAAUUCAGUGAAUCAUCGAAUCUUUGAACGCAUCUUGCGCUCCUUGGUAUUCCGAGGAGCAUGCCUGUUUGAGUGUCGUGAACACCCCUCUCGACCCCUUCCUUACCCCGUUAACCGGAGUUCGAGGGGUUGGAUUUGGACGUCUGCGGCGGGUCUUCCGUCGCUCGUCUUUAAAUGCAUUAGCUUUGGCCCCCUCUCCUAAGAGUCGGUUCGACGACGGUGUGAUAAGAAACACUUUGUUGACUGUGGCGCCGUUUGGGUCGACUUUGGAUAUCGGGUCCGCUUAUAGCCC
rnacentral:rRNA from 1 species